UACGUAGGGUGCGAGCGUUGUCCGGAAUUAUUGGGCGUAAAGAGCUCGUAGGCGGUUUGUCGCGUCGGCCGUGAAAACUUGGGGCUUAACCCCGGGCCUGCAGUCGAUACGGGCAGACUAGAGUGCGGUAGGGGAGACUGGAAUUCCUGGUGUAGCGGUGAAAUGCGCAGAUAUCAGGAGGAACACCGGUGGCGAAGGCGGGUCUCUGGGCCAUUACUGACGCUGAGGAGCGGAAGCGUGGGGAGCGAACAGG
rnacentral:rRNA from 1 species